rnacentral:rRNA from 1 species
AUUGAACGCUGGCGGAAUGCUUUACACAUGCAAGUCGAGCGGCAGCACGGGGGCAACCCUGGUGGCGAGCGGCGAACGGGUGAGUAAUACAUCGGAACAUGCCCAGUCGUGGGGGAUAACACUUCGAAAGAAGUGCUAAUACCGCAUACGUCCUGAGGGAGAACGCGGGGGAUCGCAAGACCUCGCGCGAUUGGAGUGGCCGAUGUCAGAUUAGCUAGUUGGUGGGGUAAAGGCCUACCAAGGCAACGAUCUGUAGCUGGUCUGAGAGGAUGAUCAGCCACACUGGGACUGAGACACGGCCCAGACUCCUACGGGAGGCAGCAGUGGGGAAUUUUGGACAAUGGGGGCAACCCUGAUCCAGCCAUUCCGCGUGAGUGAAGAAGGCCUUCGGGUUGUAAAGCUCUUUCGGCAGGAACGAAACGGCGAGCUCUAACAUAGCUUGCUAAUGACGGUACCUGAAGAAGAAGCACCGGCUAACUACGUG